ACAACUUUCAACAAUGGAUCUCUUGGUUCUGGCAUCGAUGAAGAACGCAGCGAAAUGCGAUAAGUAGUGUGAAUUGCAGAAUUCAGUGAAUCAUCGAAUCUUUGAACGCACAUUGCGCCCCUCGGUAUUCCGUGGGGCAUGCCUGUUCGAGCGUCAUU
rnacentral:rRNA from 2 species